rnacentral:rRNA from 1 species
GAUGAACGCUGGCGGCGUGCCUAAUACAUGCAAGUCGAGCGAACAGACGAGGAGCUUGCUCCUCUGACGUUAGCGGCGGACGGGUGAGUAACACGUGGAUAACCUACCUAUAAGACUGGGAUAACUUCGGGAAACCGGAGCUAAUACCGGAUAAUAUAUUGAACCGCAUGGUUCAAUAGUGAAAGACGGUUUUGCUGUCACUUAUAGAUGGAUCCGCGUCGCAUUAGCUAGUUGGUAAGGUAACGGCUUACCAAGGCAACGAUGCGUAGCCGACCUGAGAGGAUGAUCGGCCACACUGGAACUGAGACACGGUCCAGACUCCUACGGGAGGCAGCAGUAGGGAAUCUUCCGCAAUGGGCGAAAGCCUGACGGAGCAACGCCGCGUGAGUGAUGAAGGUCUUCGGAUCGUAAAGCUCUGUUAUUAGGGAAGAACAAAUGUGUAAGUAACUAUGCACGUCUUGACGGUACCUAAUCAGAAAGCCACGGCUAACUACGUG